GGUUCAAUGGUGCAUUGGUGCACGCCUUUGAAUAAUAUCCGCUUAUUCGAAUCAGCAAGAAGCGCCCGUUCGACUCGGGCUUGGACCA